rnacentral:rRNA from 1 species
AUUGAACGCUGGCGGCAGGCCUAACACAUGCAAGUCGAACGGUAACAGGAAACAGCUUGCUGUUUCGCUGACGAGUGGCGCACGGGUGAGUAAUGUCUGUGAAACUGCCUGAUGGCGGGGGAUAACUACUGGAAACGGUAGCUAAUAUCGCAUAACGUCGCAAGACCAAAGAGGGGGACCUUCUGGCCUCUUGCCAUCAGAUGUGCCCAGAUGGGAUUUGCUAGUAGGUGGGGUAACGGCUCACCUAGGCGACGAGCCCUAGCUGGUCUGAGAGGAUGACCAGCCACACUGGAACUGGGGAAAGGUCCAGAAUCCUCAGGGAGGCAGGAGUGGGGAAAUUUGCACAAUGGGCGGAAGCCUGAUGCAGCCAUGCCGGGUGUAUGAAGAAGGCCUUCGGGUUGUUAAGUACUUUCAGCGGGGAGGAAGGGAGUAAAGUUAAUACCUUUGCUGAUUGACGUUACCCGAAGAAGAAGCACCGGCUAACUCCGUG